ensembl:lncRNA
AUGCAGCAUUGGUCACCAACAAACAAAACACAACUUCAGCUUGCUCUUCCUCUGUAUUCGGUGCACAUGAACAGAUCAUAUUUAAGCUUUAAACACCGUCUCUCCUCCCUGACGCAUUCAUUACUCAAAAUAAAUGAAUGGAUAAAUAAACUGUUAGCACAAAUCGUCCACGAUUCAAACUUAAAGUUCUCACUUCAACCUGCUCACUUACAACCAUUAAACAUUACCAUUAUAAAGUACUCUAAUUAUAUUCCGAUCAUAAAUUAUGAAAAAAAGUACAUAAAAGUGUAGCUGACACCGCAUCUAAACUGUAACUCAACAACAUUUUCUGUGGCCAAAAAAAAAAAAAAAAAAAAAACACAUUUCGCGCUCAUUUAAGAUCAGAGCGGAAAGCCGCCCGCAACCGAGGUGAAACGGACAAGUCCCGUAUAUCUGACGUUACCUCACACGGACUCCGUGUGUGGAUCUGAGCAGAUUCGCCAUCACUAGCGUGUCAGACGCGGCAGUCAGUGUGUAGUUUCAGAGCUCUGUCUAUUUUUACCUCGUGGAUCAGUGAAAAACCACUAUAUAGACGUUUAUGGAACAGAAGAAAUACGUGCAUUAAUCACGCCCAACACACAGCAUUAAUCAGGCCUCAUGGAUUUCUACUGCCUCACAGCCUUCUCAAACAAAAGUAUUUCUUAAAUAGACGGUUAAUACUAUUAAUUACCGUCCUAAAAGUACAUUCAAGCAGGAAACCAGCGGCCAAAAAAAAAAAAAAAAAAAGAUUUCGCGCUCAUUUAAGAUCAAAGCGGGAAGCCGGCCGCACCCCGCUUGCGAGACGAGACGGAUAAGUCCCGUUAAUAUCUACGUUACCUCACACGUACUCCGUGUGUGAAUCUGAGCCGAUCCGCUAUCACUAACGUGUCAGACACGGCGGUCUGUGUGUUUUUUCAUCGUGAAUCAGUGAAGAAACACUAUAUAGACGUUUAUGGAACAGCAGAAAAUACUCUCUUUAAUCACGCCCAACACGCAGCAUCAAUCAGAGCUCACGGAUUUCUACUCCCUCACAGUCACCUCAAACAAAUGUAUUUCUUAAAUAGACGGUUACUAUUACGAAUUACUGUCCUAAUACUGUCCUAAAAGCACAUUCACAUUAACGGCCUAACGUUAAUUACUAAUCUCUGCUAAUAUACCUUCAAAAAGCACUCUUGCUAAUAUGCAGAAUUAGCUAAUGCAUACACAAACUUCAAGCAACAAUGGUAUACACCACCUGGGCAACAUAUUUUAUAUCUUCAAAUUCGUUAUUAAAAGCAGACGUUAGAAAAAUAAACCAUCCGUACUCACCUCUGGAGAAUUCUGG